GUUGUACGAAAGUUUUUAACUUAAGUGGCGGACGGGUGAGUAACACGUAAGAAUUUGCCUCUAGGAGGGGGACAACAAUUGGAAACGAUUGCUAAUACCCCAUAUGCUUUCGAGUGAAAUGGAUUUUCCGCCUAGAGAGAAGCUUGCGGCUGAUUAGCUUGUUGGUAGGGUAAAAGCCUACCAAGGCGACGAUCAGUAUCUGGUUUGAGAGGACGAUCAGACACACUGGAACUGAGACACGGUCCAGACUCCUACGGGAGGCAGCAGUAGGGAAUUUUCCGCAAUGGGCGAAAGCCUGACGGAGCAAUACCGCGUGAGGGAUGACUGCCUAUGGGUCGUAAACCUCUUUUUUCAGGGAGGAAUAAAUGACGUGUACCUGAAGAAUAAGCAUCGGCUAACUCCGUGCCAGCAGCCGCGGUAAGACGGAGGAUGCAAGUGUUAUCCGGAAUCACUGGGCGUAAAGCGUCUGUAGGUGGUUUAAUAAGUCAACUGUUAAAUCUUGAGGCUCAACUUCAAAAUCGCAGUCGAAACUAUUAAACUAGAGUAUAGUAGAGGUAAAGGGAAUUUCCAGUGGAGCGGUGAAAUGCGUAGAGAUUGGAAAGAACACCGAUGGCGAAGGCACUUUACUGGGCUAUUACUGACACUCAGAGACGAAAGCUAGGGUAGCAAAUGGGAUUAGAUACCCCAGUAGUCCUAGCUGUAAACAAUGGAUACUAGGUGUUGAACAGAUCGAUCUGUGCAGUACUAAAGCUAACGCGUUAAGUAUCCCGCCUGGGAAGUAUGCACGCAAGUGUGAAACUCAAAGG
rnacentral:rRNA from 1 species